AUACAUUAGGAAUCUACCUAGUAGUGGGGGAUAGCACGGGGAAACUCGUUAUUAAUACCGCAUACGACCUACGGGAGAAAGGGGGCAGUUUACUGCUCUCGCUAUUAGAUGAGCCUAAGUCGGAUUAGCUAGAUGGUGGGGUAAAGGCCUACCAUGGCGACGAUCUGUAGCUGGUCUGAGAGGAUGAUCAGCCACACCGGGACUGAGACACGGCCCGGACUCCUACGGGAGGCAGCAGUGGGGAAUAUUGGACAAUGGGGGAAACCCUGAUCCAGCCAUGCCGCGUGUGUGAAGAAGGCCUUUUGGUUGUAAAGCACUUUAAGCAGUGAAGAAGACUCUUCGGUUAAUACCCGGAGACGAUGACAUUAGCUGCAGAAUAAGCACCGGCUAACUCUGUGCCAGCAGCCGCGGUAAUACAGAGGGUGCAAGCGUUAAUCGGAAUUACUGGGCGUAAAGCGAGCGUAGGUGGCUUGAUAAGUCAGAUGUGAAAUCCCCGGGCUUAACCUGGGAACUGCAUCUGAAACUGUUAGGCUAGAGUAGGUGAGAGGUAAGUAGAAUUUCAGGUGUAGCGGUGAAUUGCGUAUAGAUCUUGAAGGAAUACCGAUGGCGAAGGCAGCUUUCUUGGCAUUCAUACUGACACUGAGGCUCGAAAAGCGUGGGGUAGCCAAUACAAGGAUUAGAUACCCUG
rnacentral:rRNA from 1 species